AGUUGGUGGAGUGAUUUGUCUGGUUAAUUCCGUUAACGAACGAGACCUCAGCCUACUAUUGUAGUUGCAGUGUAUCUUGAUACGCUCGACUUCUUAGAGGGACUGACAGUUUUUAGCUGUUGGAAGUUUGAGGCAAUAACAGGU
rnacentral:rRNA from 1 species